UGUAAUGAAAUCUUGAGUUUUUCCAUACAAGUUAAAGCCUACCAUCUAAACUUGCAGGGCCUCUGAUAAUUAAGCACCAGCUUCUAGUCUCGGUAGGAGCUCGGGAAUCAUGGAAACAACUGGUUUAUACCCUUUUCCUAAAAGAAUUAUGUCUCAUGAGGAAGAGAACACAGAAGAAGGAAAGGAUAAGCUCAGCAACUUCUCGGAUACCCUCCUUCAUCACAUCCUCUCUUUUCUUCCAACAAAAUAUGCUGUUAGAACUUGCAUUUUAUCAAAAAGGUGGAAGUACAUCUGGAGUUCUGUUACCAGUCUUGACUUUGAUGAUGGGUUGUACAAUGCUGAACCAGGGAAGAAGCGAAUCAGAGCAAAAGUGGCCAAUUUUAUAAAUUUUGUGGAUAGGGUACUGAUUCAAAAUGCAUCAAGUUUGGAUAAGUUCCAUCUCAAAUGUGGUAGCUCCUGUGAUUUUGAUCACAUUAAUGCUUGGAUAUGUGCUGCUAUUACUCGUAAGGUUCACCAGCUCUGUCUCUCGAUUUCUAUGAAACAGCUCCUUAAGUUGCCACACUGCCUCUUUACUUCUGAAUAUCUGGUUAAGUUAGAAUUGGUUGGAAAUUUUGUACUCAAUGUUCCUUCUUACAUCUGUUUAUCAAGCCUCAUUAUCCUCUAUCUUGAAAGAGUUACUUUUGUUGAUGAUGUCUCAGUGGAACAACUCUUUUCAAGCUGUCCAGCACUUGAAGUUUUGACUAUAGAUGAUUGUAGAUGGGAUAAUGUAAAAAAUUUUGACUUAAGCAUUCCAACUUUAAACUGUUUGACCAUAUAUCACUGUAAUUCGACUGGGCACAAAAUCAGGUUUAAUCUUCCAGCCCUCGCAGUCCUCACGUAUGCUUCCUAUGCACCUGAACAAUUUAUAGUUGAUGACUUGUCCUCCCUAAUUGAGGCAUCAAUUGGAGUUGGAUUGAGUGACGAUCAAUAUAAAAUCAAAUGUAGUAUGCAUGGUGAUUGUGUACAUGCUCUUCUUGAAGGGGUUGCUCAUGUGAAGAUCCUGGAUUUGGAUGGUGACACAAUGGAGACUCUCUCAUUUGCAGCAGAACACCCAUAUUUGCCUAUAUUUCCUAAUUUGAAGCGCUUGGGGUUGGGUGUAUGCAAAAAUUAUGGUUGGGGAAUGCUCCCAGACCUACUUGAAUGCUCACCUAUUCUUGAAGUUCUUCAAUUUUAUGAGGGACUUGUACACACUGAGGGUCAAAGGAAAUUCAACUGGGAUUCCCCACAAAGUGUACCUUAUUGUUUGUUGUCACACCUCAAAUCAAUUGAAAUUUCAGAAUUUGAGGGGGAUGACCAAGAGUUCAAAGUGAUAAAAUUUCUUGUGAAGAAUGCUAGAACCUUGGAGCGGCUGGUUGUAACUUUUCGGGAGGGGAGGGUUGUUGUGGAGGAACAAUUGGAAAUUGCUCAGAAACAACAAUUGAAAAUUGCUGAGAAAUUUUUAAAUCUCCAGAAGGGGUCUAGGCAUUGUAGCAUUUUGAUUGGCACAAGUUUUGGUUCAAUCUACAUAAAGGGAUUGAAGGGAUAGUACAAUUUUGAAAAAUUAGGAUAAUGAACCACAUCGUCACUAAUGGAGAGCCCAAUUACCUGACCAGAUUUAGCUGUGAUCCUGGGGAUCUAAAAUCUUUCUGAAAUUGCAUUAUAUCUGUGAUCUAUUAUGAGCAGGCACUGCGACA